ACAAAGAAAAAGAGGUAUCCCAAGACGAGGGUAUUAAAGGUGUGUCCCAAACGUUAAACACCAUAACAUGAGGAUUCACCAGGGGUGAUUUGCUCUGCUCAUAAAAGGUACGCUUGCCAAAUCCUAAAUAUAGAAGACCUCCUAAACAUCGAGGGAGAAGGAUAAACCCAAGAGCCAUAAGCCAUAAUCGCCUUCUAUGAGAAAGAUGUGUAAAGACAAAGUGUCAGACAACAUACGAUCGCAAGUUUCGAUGAUGACAAAAGACCAUCAUGCACGCCUACA
rnacentral:lncRNA from 1 species